rnacentral:rRNA from 1 species
GACGAACGCUGGCGGCGUGCCUAAUACAUGCAAGUAGAACGCACAGUUUAUACCGUAGCUUGCUACACCAUAGACUGUGAGUUGCGAACGGGUGAGUAACGCGUAGGUAACCUGCCUGGUAGCGGGGGAUAACUAUUGGAAACGAUAGCUAAUACCGCAUAAUAUUAAUUAUUGCAUGAUAAUUAAUUGAAAGGUGCAAUUGCACCACUACCAGACGGACCUGCGUUGUAUUAGCUAGUAGGUGAGGUAACGGCUCACCUAGGCGACGAUACAUAGCCGACCUGAGAGGGUGAUCGGCCACACUGGGACUGGGACACGGCCCAGACUCCUACGGGAGGCAGCAGUAGGGAAUCUUCGGCAAUGGACGAAAGUCUGACCGAGCAACGCCGCGUGAGUGAAGAAGGUUUUCGGAUCGUAAAGCUCUGUUGUAAGAGAAGAACGGGUGUGGGAGUGGAAAGUUCACACUGUGACGGUAUCUUACCAGAAAGGGACGGCUAACUACGUG